rnacentral:rRNA from 1 species
AGGGCCCACCAAGGCGACGAUCAGUAGCCGGCCUGAGAGGGUGGACGGCCACAUUGGGACUGAGACACGGCCCAAACUCCUACGGGAGGCAGCAG